GACGGUCGUUCCGAAUACCCCUAACCUCACAAUCAUGUUCACAUAGUAAUAUUCCCUCCUAAUAUGAAGGUAUCAUAAAACGAUUCACCGCGAGAUUACCGGUUUCCUUUGUCUGUGACUACCGGCGUGGCGGCGUGGUGACCUUCAAUCUUGUUCUCGGCCUUUCACUCGCUCAGUCUAUACGCGUUACACGUUCGUGCAUUAAUAUUUUAUACUUACCACAUUCUCGACAGUCGACAAGCUGCGAUGACGUUCCACAGUUGUGGUGUUGGUUAGAUUAUUUGAUCACUUUUGUUUUUUUUUUCACUAUCCGCACAGAAUUGGAUUUGAUUAAUCAAAUUUUUGGACGAUCAACCUCGUUCACUGCCACUAACGAUAAUGCAAAAAACGCAGAGAACCAAUACCUUCAACAACAUGUAAGCUAUUAGCUAACACCUACGAACCGUACGUGCCGCCGACUGUAAAACUAUCGGCCCUUACGCCCAGUGUGUUGAAAUCUAUAGUUAGCGUGAGGUAUCGCUCGUAGAGGAGAAAUACAGAAAAUACGGUAAAGAUGCCGAUAUUUUUUAUAGUUUAAUUAAAAAUUAUUUGAACUAAGAAUAUUUUUCUAAUAAAAAAAACAUUUAGAAAUAUUUCAUCUGCAUUCAUAUUAUUUCAAAAUCCACAUUAUUACAGUUGCUCAUACGUGGCAUGUUACAAAAUUGGCGCAGUCAGUAGGAUUCUUUUCAUUUAAGAAUUCUCCAGUCGAAAUAUUUUAUUUUUACGGACUUUGAAAAUUUUUUCUCCCUUACGAAAAAUAAAAUCAAUCGACUUCGAAAAAUUCACGGAGGCAAUGAACCACUGUUGAAGGGAACACUUGAUCACUGUCAACUUCAGCGACUCCAAAGAAAAAGAAUCAACUCGUAGCACCACGGCUUAGCAAUCAGAAAGUAUGGAUGAAGCAAAUCAAACCAUCUUUGUGUAAAGAUGCCGCAGAUCUAUCUAUACCGAAACCAUUGGUGCUAUACAACAGCGACGACAGUGAUGAUGUCAGUGACAAAGACGCACUUCCUUCGAAAUCUCACAAAAUUGUGCGAAACCUAACCGACACCGACACUGUUUCAUCGACGGUACUAACGAUGACGAUGACACCCAUCGCGGCUAUGGAAAUUGACAAUCCGAACACUGAAAACAUCGUAAUACCUCGGUAAAAAAUGUAUACCAUCAUCAAACGCAAUGAAUCGAACAGCAGCUCGCACCAAAAGUCUUCGGAAAAAUGUGUAAAUAUUUUUAGUACCUAUCUAUGUAAUAAGUAGUAAUGGUGAUAGUGUUCACCCUAAUUUUAAUUUUAAAAAACCCAUUCGUAGUAAAGAACUUAAAAAAAAUAACUUAUAUCGCCGAUACAGACAACGACCGUGACGCUUGUAACAGUGUAGUUGGUAGUGAUGGUAAGUGCAGUAUUAUUAUAUUCUGUGGUGCAGUAGUGAGAGUAGAGCUAGUAGUAAGAGUAGUGGGGAAUAUGAUUAGGACGAAAAUGAAAUAUUCAAACCUAGGUAAUCUUGUAAUAAUUGUAUUUCGCAUAUUGCUCUUGUAUUUCUAGGAUGUAAAGGAUUAAUUUCAGGACAUAAAAGGAAAUUAUGAGCUGAUUUACAUGCUGAGUAGUGAAAUUGGUCAUAAGUUGUAUACAAUUCUUUUGUUUUGUUAAUUGCUAAAAAGUUAUAACUAGGUUUAAUAUAAAUACAGUUUGUUAGUUUACAUACAGAUUUAGGUAUUAAAUGAUAAAAUGUUAGUUAAUUUUGAUAUACUAAAGGUAAAGUAAUAAUAAACACAAUUCUGUUAUCGGAACAAUAUACUGUCAAAUCUGAGAGUCUGAGUAAUUCGUAAGCGUUUACUAGGUCAAGUUCGAUUGGUAGUUUCGUUCCUGAUAUUAAAGAUACUUUGAUGUCCCUUAGUUGUUCUAAAAGGUCGUUUGGUGGUAACAAACUUGGGUGCAUUUGUCCUACUCUAGCCAUUUGAAUUGUUUCCAAAAGGGUAUUAGUCUCAUAAAUAUAUUUAGUAAGUACUAAGUUAACGAAACUAAAACGAAUCGAAAGGUAAUUUUUCAUAAACUGGUUAAUAGUAUUAUUUUUAAAGUCGUCUAACGUUAUCUCUACUUUUUUAUUUUUAAAUCCUCCUGAUCUUGAUUUAAACGAAUAAUUUUUAUUUCUUCCUCGAUAAGUUUGAUUUGGUUAUCGUUAGUACCCAUAAAUCGAUUAAUAAUUGUGUUAAAUUUGUUCAUACAUUCUGCGUUGCAUAACCCGAACAAGAAUCGCGCCGUUUUGCUUAUUUUAUCAACGAUGCUACGUCUGUUUUAAGUUUUAAAACCUAUUAAAGAAAAGACUAGAUUUUUUUUUAUGUUUCAUCUCGUUAAAAAGUUUUAAAGUAACUGGUAAAAAGUCUCCACUGUGGUUAUCUACGUUAUUUUUAAUUGAUGCACACAUUACUUCAGUGUCAUUUAUUAAUUGGUCAAUUUUCCCCCAACGUUGUUCAUAUGUUGUCAUGUUAACGUAUGCGGUAAGUUCCCAAGUAGUGGUUACUAUUUUAAUUUGUCUUCGAUUUUCGUAAUAGAUACCCAUUUGUUGUGAGAGUUUGUCGUCAGUAAAUCGUUGAGUGUUCACUCCGACAUAAAAAAAUGUCAGUGGAAAUAAAAUCCUGGAACAAUGUAAUGCGUUAAGAAAAUGUUUUACCAUUCUUCUGCUAAAUGAUUAAUUAAGUUAUUGUGUUUAAUACGUCGUAUAAGUUUGUCGAAAAUACAUUUUUUUUAAAUUACAUCGGUACGUGGGUCAUGUAAUCCUAAGGAAGAUUCGUGUUGUGCACCGCCUAUUAGCGUAUGCGUUUCGUUUAAAUUGAGUUGUCUACCCGGUUUGUCUAAUGUGCCUGCAGGCGAUUCAUGAAUUAUAGUUUUAUCCCGCUCGUCGAUUAAACGUAUCACGUAGUUAUUGUCUAAAUGAACAUCGUAAGUUGUUAUGUUAAGUAGAAUGUACUCAAUGUUAAGUUUGUUUAAUAUUUUCUUAUCAGUCUCACCGUUCCACGUAAAGAAUAUUGGCUUCGUUUUAUUUCUAUUAAUGUAUGUGUUGAUGUAAUCGGCGUUUAAUGUGUUAUUAAACGCAUGCAUACUGUCGUAUAGUUGCUCUAAAGUAACAUACAUUAGCUGUUGGUUUUUAUCUUUAAAAAUCCGAACAACAGAUUCCACCGUUUUUCUGAAUUGGUCGUGGUCGAAUUUAAUUAUUUGGGAGUCCCUAGUGAAUACUAGCGGUUCUCCUUCUAAUUUCUUAACCUUGAAACGUUCUAGACAAUUUGAAAUUGCCCCGGAGAUUAUUACUAAAUUUGUCCGAUUUGUGUUUGUAAAUUCGAAGUCGAUGAUGAAAAAAUUAAAGGUCGGUUGUCUAAAAUGCAAAAAUAAAAUAGGUUAUAAAGUUGUUUCGAAGUAUUUCUUCGUAUUAUUUUUAUGGAUAACUAUUGUUAUUGUUUUAUAUUAUAUUUUUAAAAGUGUUUUACUAGAUUCUCAUACCUUUGUUUUCGUAUCACAUAAUCAAAUAUACAUUUGGUAUACUUGACAUCCAUUCUCGGAUCAUGCACAUACGUAGUAUGGUGUUUCUUUUUACAUAUUACCUCAUGGGUCUCUACUAAAUUAAGUAGCCUUCCUGAUUUAUUAUAUGUCCCGAUAUUUACUUCAAAAAUUAUUUCCCUAUUACUUAAUUUUUCUAAUUGAAUAUAAAAGUUUUUGUUGAAAUACUUGUCGUAACACGUUAUGUUCAGCAUGGGAUAAUGGUCUAAGUCUAAUCUCUAUUAUUAAAUAAUAAAAAAUAUACCCAUUUCCAUAAAAAAAAAAUGCCAAUAUAAGCUGAGUUAGCUUAAUAAAAUAAUGAAUAAGUGUAUUAUAUAAAAGAAAAUUAACCAAUGAUGGCGUCAUCUAUUUGGACACUAUAUCUAAGUCGUAGAUAUCUAAACAGGCAUCCAGACCAAAUUACAUCGGUUACGGGGUUAUGUGCUUCUAUACACCCAUGAUCCCCUCCACAAGUUAGACCGUGUGCUUCUGUUAGACACAGCGCACGACCGUUUUUUGCUAUAUCCCCGAUAUAAUGUGAAACUAUUAUUGUUUUUCCGUACAGUAGUUGUAAGAAAAAUUUUCCGUUGGAGUCAACGUCCCAUCCUCUCAUUGAAAGAGCGAUGUGCGGUGCCCCUAAAGCGUCCAGUAUUUUGAUGUCUGUACUACCCUCCCAUAGUACGAUUACAUCGUAAUUUUUUAUUAAGUUAAGAAUUUGUUUUUUAGUUAAGUUAGCUUUAGUUGAGUGGUCCGAGUCAUAUAUCUGGGCAAGUAUUGGAUACAAUGUUUUUGGUUUGUCUUUAAAAAUCCUUACUAAAUGGUGAACCAUGUCUUUCCAUUCUUUUUGCAUAAUUACUCUAUUUUCUUUUAGUAGCAACUCGCGCCCUUCCAGUUUCGUAACUAGACCUGGCGAGUGUCGACCCAUUAAUGCUCCUGAUAUUAGAAUUAAGUUGUCGCGCCCUAGAUUCGUAAACUCGAAAUCCAUGACUGCGUAUUGAAUACUACAAUUCAUUAUCCACACAAAAAAAAAAUACUUAUGUCACAAAAAAAAACAAAACAAAAAAAAAAAUAAUAAAAAUAAAA